GACGAACGCUGGCGGCGUGCUUAAAACAUGCAAGUCGAACGGACUUCUCAUGAAGCUUGCGAUUGAGAAGUUAGUGGCGGACGGGUGAGUAACGCGUGGGCAACCUGCCCCUGAGCCCGGGAUAACAGUUCGAAAGGACUGCUAAGACCGGAUAUACUUGCGGUGAAGCAUUUCACUGCAAGGAAAGGGAACGCUCAGGGAUGGGCCCGGUCCCAUUAGCUAGUUGGUGAGGUAACGACCCACCAAGGCGACGAUAAGUAGCCAACCUGAGAGGGUGAACGGCCACACUGGGACUGAGACACGGCCCAGACUCCUACGGGAGGCAGCAGUUGGGAAUCUUCGGCAAUGGGCGCAAGGCCUGACCGAGCAAACGCCGCGUGAGUGAUGAAGGUUUUCGGAUUGUAAAGCUCUGUCUUCCGGGACGAUAAUGACGGUACCGGAGGAGGAAGCCACGGCUAACUACGUGCCAGCAGCCGCGGUAAGACGUAGCGUG
rnacentral:rRNA from 1 species